UAUACAGCGAAACUGCGAAUGGCUCAUUAUAUAAGUUAUCGUUUAUUUGAUAGUGCCUUACUACUUGGAUAACCGUGGUAAUUCUAGAGCUAAUACAUGCUAAAAACCCCGACUUCGGAAGGGGUGUAUUUAUUAGAUACAAAACCAAUGCCCUUCGGGGCUCUUUGGUGAUUCAUGAUAACUAUACGAAUCGCACGGCCUUGCGCCGGCGAUGGUUCAUUCAAAUUUCUUCCCUAUCAACUUUCGAUGUUUGGGUAUUGGCCAAACAUGGUUGCAACGGGUAACGGAGGGUUAGGGCUCGACCCCGGAGAAGGAGCCUGAGAAACGGCUACUACAUCCAAGGAAGGCAGCAGGCGCGCAAAUUACCCAAUCCCGACUCGGGGAGGUAGUGACAAUAAAUACUGAUACAGGGCCCUUUCGGGCCUUGUAAUUGGAAUGAGUACACUUUAAAUCCCUUAACGAGGAACAAUUGGAGGGCAAGUCUGGUGCCAGCAGCCGCGGUAAUUCCAGCUCCAAUAGCGUAUAU
rnacentral:rRNA from 1 species